CAGCCGCCGCGGGAAUACGUAGGGUGCGAGCGUUAGUCGGAAUUACUGGGCGUAAAGCGUGCGCAGGCGGUUAUAUAAGACAGAUGUGAAAUCCCCGGGCUCAACCUGGGACCUGCAUUUGUGACUGUAUAGCUAGAGUACGGUAGAGGGGGAUGGAAUUCCGCGUGUAGCAGUGAAAUGCGUAGAUAUGCGGAGGAACACCGAUGGCGAAGGCAAUCCCCUGGACCUGUACUGACGCUCAUGCACGAAAGCGUGGGGAGCAAACAGGAUUAGAUACCCCAGUAGUCCCUGUCUCUUAUAC
rnacentral:rRNA from 1 species